rnacentral:snRNA from 1 species
AUGCCUUUUCCGGCCUUUUGGCUUAGAUCAAGUGUAGUAUCUGUUCUUAUCGGUUUAAUAUCUGAUACGAGGGUCAUAGACCCUCACGAUAUUAAUCUAAUUUCUCUCACGGGUGCGCGUCCAACGGGGCAGCUUGCUGUUUCGGACUCGCCAGCGUCGCCUUGAUAUAGCACUAAUUCCUUGGCAGGCGCAGCCCUC